CAGUAGCCACGGGAAUACAGAGGGUGCGAGCGUUGUUCGGAAUUACUGGGCGUAAAGCGCGCGUAGGCGGUUACUCAAGUCAGAGGUGAAAGCCCGGGGCUCAACCCCGGAACUGCCUUUGAAACUAGGUGACUAGAAUCUUGGAGAGGUCAGUGGAAUUCCGAGUGUAGAGGUGAAAUUCGUAGAUAUUCGGAAGAACACCAGUGGCGAAGGCGACUGACUGGACAAGUAUUGACGCUGAGGUGCGAAAGCGUGGGGAGCAAACAGGAUUAGAUACCCCGGUAGUCCCUGUCUCUUAUAC
rnacentral:rRNA from 1 species